rnacentral:rRNA from 1 species
AGUGAACGCUGGCGGCAGGCCUAACACAUGCAAGUCGAACGGCAGCACAGUAAGAGCUUGCUCUUACGGGUGGCGAGUGGCGGACGGGUGAGGAAUACAUCGGAAUCUACUUUUUCGUGGGGGAUAACGUAGGGAAACUUACGCUAAUACCGCAUACGACCUACGGGUGAAAGCAGGGGAUCUUCGGACCUUUCGCGAUUGAAUGAGCCGAUGUCGGAUUAGCUAGUUGGCGGGGUAAAGGCCCACCAAGGCGACGAUCCGUAGCUGGUCUGAGAGGAUGAUCAGCCACACUGGAACUGAGACACGGUCCAGACUCCUACGGGAGGCAGCAGUGGGGAAUAUUGGACGAUGGGCGCAAGCCUGAUCCAGCCAUACCGCGUGGGUGAAGAAGGCCUUCGGGUUGUAAAGCCCUUUUGUUGGGAAAGAAAAGCAGCAGGUUAAUACCCCGCUGUUCUGACGGUACCCAAAGAAUAAGCACCGGCUAACUUCGUG